rnacentral:rRNA from 1 species
AAUGAAUGGUUGGACGAGGGAUAAACUGUCUCCUUAGCGGCGUUUGAAUUUAACUUUUGAGUGAAAAGGCUUAAAUUGUUUAGGGGGACGAUAAGACCCUAUAAAACUUAAUAUAAUUUAGGCUUAACUUGCGAUGUGGGUGAAAAGUAGUUUUGUCUGGUUUAUAUUUCGUUGGGGAGAUGAAGAUAUAAUGAGUAACUGUCUAUAAAAUUUUAUAGCAUUGACUAGAAUUUGAUCCUUCCUUGGGGAUUAGGAGAAUAAGUUACUUUAGGGAUAACAGCGUGAUUUUCUUUGAGAGUUCUGAUCGACAAGAGUAGUUGCGACCUAGAUCUGAGUGACCG